rnacentral:lncRNA from 1 species
UAGACUACUCUAUAACGCUUGAUGGCUUUAUUAAAUUUUGCCUUUAAUAAUUUUCAGCUGUCAAAUUAGAAAUUAGUCAGUUUCAGCUACUUGGGACAUCCCUGUAAAAAUGAUCGGCAGUUAUUGUGAGGUAAUAACUUAUUUGUGAUAUCUGACUAUAACUAUCCAUCAACAAAGUCCACUUGUUAAAUUUCCGAUAAUUGCGUUUUUUUUAUCUACUGUCAGUUUCUAAAUUCGAUAAUAAGUAUGUGUGUUCCUGUGACGCCGAAAAGAACCCAACAUUAUUUAUGUCGUGGCAAUAGAUUUAACCUUUUUUUAAUUUUCCGUCCGAGUCCGACUCUAGUUGUCCGUGGAUUUCUAAGGGCUGUCACUAGGUGGCUAAAUAUUUCAGUGUGUUUAGGGAUUGAGCUAUUCGACCGUAGUGCGUCCAAGUCCUGACUGCAGAGUCCUGUCUUUUCUUUCCAGGCGGUGUCCGAGAACGUUGGGCGAGGCAUUGCGAGUGAAUUUUCAAGUAACAUGUUCAUCAACGUGUACCAUUUCGUAAAAUGUCGUCUCUUGCUGUACGUUGCACGUUUCGAACAAGAUGAAGUAUUUCCACGCCAUUCGUCUUCGAUCAAGCUGAACCGAAAGUGAACUAAUACAAAGCAACAUAUCGAAGAUCUUGCCUUUCUCCACGUGGUCGCUGCCGUGUCAUGAAGAUGCUGCUGCUGCCUCUUCUAUAUUGCAGGACAAAUGUGAUACAAAGAAGAAAUCUGAAAACGUAAUCAAGUACUUCUCUUCUACUCUUGAUUUGUAAGCUUAACCAAGUAGGUGAGAAGUAUUGAUGUUGAAGACGAUUGAUAUUUUUUCAUACUUCCAUUGAAGACAGCAGUUGUGGAGUCAGUUUGUAAUUGAUCAGAACGGACAUUCCCAUUAACUUUAAAAAGCUGAGAUGCACUUGGCUUCUGCAGACAUGUACUUAGGCCAAUACUUGCUGGAAUUAUAAUCUGUCGGAAGUUUUGUUGCAGCCAACUGGCGAAAGAGAGUUAAAAUCAAGCUGAGCUGCAGCCCCUGGAAGCAGUCUACAUUGCUGGUUGCUGGUGUCAUCCUGAAGUGGGGAAAUGUUACCUGAAGUUUAAACAGCAACAAAGACAUAAUGAAAUGGUGACAACGUGAUGCAUCCUACGUAUGUUGGUAAUUUAGGGGCAUGUGUGGAGCAGAAGGAAGAGUGACAUUUUAUUUCUUUCUGGGACGUUGUUCGAGGACGAUUUAGUUAUUUCUUCGUGAUGAUUGCCUUGACGUUUUUCACCAUCUAAAUGGUAACAAACAUCCUUGCCUCAUGUAAUCAUGUAGCCUGCUGUACCUAUCCCAAAAAUGUCGUCCCUUGUUGCAGUUCUAUGAAUAGGUAUUUCCACGCAAUUCGUCCAAACUGAACCGAAAGUGAACCAUUUAAUGCAACAUGUCGAAUAUUUGCCUUUCUCCACGUGGUAGGUGCCGUGUCAUGAAGAUGCGUCUUUGAGAGGGUCACAACUGUAUUGUGAGACACAUGAUGUAAAGAGGGAAAAAUAUAAAGUUUAUUUUCAGGUAAAAGAACCCUUUCCUCAUCUGCUGAAGAAUUUGUUAACAUGACAAAGCCUGAGCCUCAUCAAUGUCAUGCAGGAGGUUUUUGCUGCAGCAGCCAGCUGUUGAAAGGGAGUUCAAACGAAGUUUAGUUGAAUCUCCUGGAAGCAGUCUACAUUGCUGGAUCCUGAAGUUAAACGCAACACAGACAUGCUGUGACAAUGUGAUGCAUCAUUCUUCUGCAUACUGUCAAUGAAGUUGGUGUUUUCCACAAAUUUAGAAGCAAUACUAGAAGAAUAACUGCAAGAAUACUUCUAGAAAUGGAUGGUGGAAAUUUGCCGUGGUUUUGCAGUCUGCCGCCUGUUCAAGCUGAUUGCUAUCCUGGAUUUUGCCUUAGUCCUCGAAAUAGCAGAUGUUGGUGGUAUCCAGAUGGUGCUGUGGCAGUGAAAUUCGGGUUGAAGAUUAAAAUACUUUUGUCUGAUAUGUUUAUCGAUCCUGUAGCGUAUGAUUGAAGUAACCUGAUAUUAAUUUGCUAUUCCAUGUCACAUGUUGCAGCCCAUGUUGGUGAAACCUCUUCGACAUUAAGGUUUUUAUCUGCUGUUGUUGGUUAUGAUAUUAUCUUUAUCCCCAUGAUAUUUAAAUUAUUCCUUACAAAUUGAUGGCCAAACUGCUUAAGUCAAACCUGUAAUCUUGUGUUGUUAUGAUAACUUUACUGUUUAUAUCCUUUCACAUUUCACUUGUAAUCUAUAAAAUUUAAAUAUCACCCAAAUAAAAAAAUACCAAUCAA